GGUCUGUAUACUAUUGUGCAGGUUCUGACAUAUGCUGUAGGUAACUCCAUCAAAAAGACAGAUGAUAGCUUUAAGGCGGUUCAAGUGCAGGGAACAGCGAUUGUUGAUUGAUUGAACCGUGAUAAAUUAUGGUAGUUAAAACUGAAGUCAUGUUAUUGUG